rnacentral:rRNA from 1 species
UACGAACCGUCCUAACGUUAUUCGGAAUCACUGGGCUUAAAGGGUGCGUAGGCGGCCCGAUAAGUUGGGUGUGAAAUCCCUCGGCUCAACCGAGGAAUUGCGCUCAAAACUGUCGGGCCUGAGGAAGAUAGAGGUAAGCGGAACUUAGGGUGGAGCGGUGAAAUGCGUUGAUAUCCUAAGGAACACCGGUGGCGAAAGCGGCUUACUGGGUCUUUACUGACGCUGAGGAACGAAAGCUAGGGUAGCGAACGGG